rnacentral:lncRNA from 1 species
CUAAGCCCUAAAUUACCCAUAUAUAAAGGGGCAAAUAUCCCUUUAAAGGCAAUCUCCAAGAUCCACAAAUUCAUGAGAUAUUCAUAAAGAAAUCAAAUAUCUCUAGAUAAUUACAUAAAUUCAUGGAAUAUCACAAAAGGGUCAAAAUCUCUCUCUUCUUGAUAAUCAAAUACAUCACGAAGAUCCACAAAUUCUCUUUUCAUGGAGAUCAAUUUCAAAUAUUCCUAUGUUGGAGAAAUACGCUACUCGCGAUCUUUGAAUUACGGAGAAAAUCAAGAGAGAUGAAUCAAGGAAGGAACAAAUUUGUACCCACU